rnacentral:lncRNA from 1 species
AUUCUAUGAUGUCAUGGUUCCUUCUCUAUGCGUGUUCUCUUGAGAACCAAGCAGGAUCAAUAGUUUUCAGAAGAACAGAAGUACAGAAAAAAAUGUGUUGUACUGCCCUAGCUCUACCCCUCCCAGGUUAUGACUCCUUCUGUUACUUUUGACUGGGUCCUACCUUCCGUUUUUGGUCCAGUAACAGGGCUGCCAUUUGGGAAUGGAUUCUCAGGCUCUAGUUGCUCCCCAGAAAAGCCUCAGCAAGUCAUUUUACCCUUUGCCUCUCACUCUACAUGGGUCUUUUCGAGAAUAUCUUAAUGAAAUAUUUCCUCAUCUCUGCGGACAAAGAGAUUUUUAUUGUGGGGGUGUCCCAUUAUUUUCCAUCUCAGGGACUCCUUCUUCAUUGUUUCCUUUUCUCUUCUGCUUCUCUUUCAUGGCUGCGCGUUUCUUCUUCCAGUGUUGCGGGCUAGGUCAGCAGCUGCAGGAGAACUUGAUUAGUGCCUUGCCUCAGUGCAGAUGCAUUUCCCUGACAGCAUCGAUCCUGGGUGCUUUCGCUUUGCAGGCAGCUCCACAGAGGAGGAGCUUGUACUGCAAAGGAGGUGGACUGUUGUCUGUUCAAGAUAUGAGUGGGAUCACUAAAACAUGGAAGCAACAAAAGUACCUACACUUCUAUCUCUACCUGACAAGAAAAUAUUGCAAGGUAAUAGAAUUGUGUGGGCUUGUGUGUUACCCUCCAGAAGGAUAUUUUUCUGAAUGUAUGUUGUAUAUACUCAUAAACAAAAGAAUAAAAUGCAUGUAG